UGGCGACUCACUCAAUCCAAUGGAGACGUCGUGCUGAGAGAUGAAUGCAAGUGGACGCCCAGUGCCAAAGGAGAACUCGCCCGCAUCGGGUGGGUCCAGCUCAAGUGGGAACCCGAAAAGCAGCAAGAGACAUCGCGAGCUUACCUGACGCUCGCUGCCAUCCAGCCAGGCUACGACAUCAGCCAGAUCGGUGUGACUGAUGAGCUACGAAGGGGAGGAGGCAGUGCGUGGAGACUCAGGACUCGUCUCAGCCCUCACAUUUAGCUUUCUUGCACACUGGAAGAGAUUCAUCAUCUGCUUCUGAUGGCCGUGGUUUCUUCACUGUAGAAAUAAUUCCAAAAGCAGUUUUUCUAGUUUCUGUAAAAUAGAA
rnacentral:lncRNA from 1 species